ACGGGUGAGGAACGCGUGGGAAUCUGCCCAAAAGAGGGGGACAACUAGAGGAAACUCUAGCUAAUACCGCAUAAUCUCUUUGGAGCAAAGGCUGGGUAGCAAUACCUGGCGCUUUUGGAGGAGCCCGCGUCCGAUUAGCUAGUUGGUUAGGUAAAAGCUGACCAAGGCGAUGAUCGGUAGCUGGUCUGAGAGGACGAUCAGCCACACUGGGACUGAGACACGGCCCAGACUCCUACGGGAGGCAGCAGUGGGGAAUAUUGGACAAUGGGGGCAACCCUGAUCCAGCAAUACCGCGUGUGUGAAGAAGGCCUUCGGGUUGUAAAGCACUUUAGAAUGGGAAGAAGGUAUGUAGUUUAAGAGAUAGCAUAUUUGACUGUACCAUUAGAAUAAGCACCGGCUAACUCUGUGCCAGCAGCCGCGGUAAUACAGAGGGUGCAAGCGUUAAUCGGAGUUACUGGGCGUAAAGGGCGCGUAGGUGGUUAUGUAAGUGAGAUGUGAAAUCCCUGGGCUUAACCUAGGAACUGCAUCUUAUACUGCAUAGCUGGAGUAUUGUAGAGGGUAGUGGAAUUUCCGGU
rnacentral:rRNA from 1 species